rnacentral:rRNA from 1 species
GACGAAGGGGGCUAGCGUUGUUCGGAAUUACUGGGCGUAAAGCGCGCGUAGGCGGCUCUUCAAGUCAGGCGUGAAAGCCCCGGGCUUAACCCGGGAAUAGCGCUUGAUACUGUUGGGCUUGAGUCCGGGAGAGGAUAGUGGAAUUCCCAGUGUAGAGGUGAAAUUCGUAGAUAUUGGGAAGAACACCAGUGGCGAAGGCAGCUAUCUGGACCGGAACUGACGCUGAGGCGCGAAAGCGUGGGGAGCAAACAGG